UACAGAGGUCUCAAGCGUUGUUCGGAUUCAUUGGGCGUAAAGGGUGCGUAGGCGGCGCGGUAAGUCGGGUGUGAAAUCUCGGAGCUUAACUCCGAAACUGCAUUCGAUACUGCCGUGCUUGAGGACUGGAGAGGAGACUGGAAUUUACGGUGUAGCGGUGAAAUGCGUAGAUAUCAGGAGGAACACCAGCGGCGAAGGCGCCGCUCUGGGCCGUAACUGACGCUGAGGAGCGAAAGCAUGGGUAGCAAACAGG
rnacentral:rRNA from 1 species